rnacentral:rRNA from 1 species
UUUUCGUCAAUGGGGGCAACCCUGAACGAGCAAUGCCGCGUGAGCGAAGAAGGUCUUCGGAUUGUAAAGCUCUGUUGACCGGGAAAAGGAAGGAAAGAGGAAAUGCUUUUCUUUGGAUGGUACCCGGCCAGAAAGUCACGGCUAACUACGUGCC